UCUACAGGAAGAAUGUUUCUUGAACCUAGAGGCUCCUAUAUCAAGAGUUUGUGGGUAUGACACACCAUUUCCUCACAUUUUUGAGCCAUUCUACAUCCCAGACAAAUGGAAGUGUUAUGAUGCCCUUCGAAAAAUGAUCAACUAUUGACCACGUAGAAAAACUGGAAGAUUAUGACUAGAUGCAAAAUUUUCUGAAUUUUUUAUAUUUCCUCAGACUUAUUUCUUCUUGAAGAUAGAGUUUUUAUGAAAUGAACCAUCAUGGAUAUCGGCUGAAAGGUUGUAAAUUAAUUACUACUUUAUUAACAUGCAUGAAUUGGUGAUUUCCAUUAAGACUGUUUCAGAUUAACUUUUUAAAAUGUUGCACAUGGUAGUCUUAUAAAUUCUGUUUAAUUAGAUCUGUAAAUAUUAGAUAUGGGAUAGUAUUCAAUAAAGUAAAAUCAGAUUGUCUUCAGGUUGUAUGUGUCCUUUUGUCUUCAUCAGUAAGAAGAGUUUUUUAUUGCAGAGUAAUAGAUUGUUAACUUGUUAAUUAAAUCUGAAUUAAAGUGAAAUAUUUGCUCUAGAAA